AGAGUUUGAUCCUGGCUCAGGAUGAACGCUGGCGGCGUGCCUAACACAUGCAAGUCGAACGAAGCAAUUGAAGGAAGUUUUCGGAUGGAAUUCGAUUGACUGAGUGGCGGACGGGUGAGUAACGCGUGGAUAACCUGCCUCACACUGGGGGAUAACAGUUAGAAAUGACUGCUAAUACCGCAUAAGCGCACAGUACCGCAUGGUACAGUGUGAAAAACUCCGGUGGUGUGAGAUGGAUCCGCGUCUGAUUAGCCAGUUGGCGGGGUAACGGCCCACCAAAGCGACGAUCAGUAGCCGACCUGAGAGGGUGACCGGCCACAUUGGGACUGAGACACGGCCCAAACUCCUACGGGAGGCAGCAGUGGGGAAUAUUGCACAAUGGGCGAAAGCCUGAUGCAGCGACGCCGCGUGAGUGAAGAAGUAUUUCGGUAUGUAAAGCUCUAUCAGCAGGGAAGAAAAUGACGGUACCUGACUAAGAAGCCCCGGCUAACUACGUGCCAGCAGCCGCGGUAAUACGUAGGGGGCAAGCGUUAUCCGGAUUUACUGGGUGUAAAGGGAGCGUAGACGGCGAAGCAAGUCUGAAGUGAAAACCCAGGGCUCAACCCUGGGACUGCUUUGGAAACUGUUUUGCUAGAGUGUCGGAGAGGUAAGUGGAAUUCCUAGUGUAGCGGUGAAAUGCGUAGAUAUUAGGAGGAACACCAGUGGCGAAGGCGGCUUGCUGGACGAUGACUGACGCUGAGGCUCGAAAGCGUGGGGAGCAAACAGGAUUAGAUACCCUGGUAGUCCACGCCGUAAACGA
rnacentral:rRNA from 1 species